CGCUGGUCGGAAGGGCUUCCCACGAUCGGGGCCGUCCGACCGCGAGCUUCCGUCCCGCCAGACGCAUUUGUCUCUCGUCCGAAGGACGCCGCAGCCGGUCGGGCAGUGCAAACGCGACGGCCUGAGGGGCGGACGACGGCAGGUGGCCGGUGGCGCGCCYCGUGCGCGUCGCCGGUUGUUAGCCGGUCCGUCAGUGGCUCGUCGCUCGACCGAGGUGUCACGAGGCCCUUCGGGGCUCUCACGCCUCCUCCUUAGGAAGUCGGGACAGACCGUCGCAAGCGAAGGCCGCCGUCCCGUCGCACUCUCUCCGAGUGGGCGGGCGAACGGUCGGCGCCGAUGGCGACGGCGGGCCCGUCGGAGGCUGGAGGCUGGCGGCGAGUAGGUCGGUCACCCACCCGACCCGUCUUGAAACACGGACCAAGGAGUCUAACAUGUGCGCGAGUCAAUGGGUCUUGAACAGGCCCAGGGGCGCAAUGAAAGCAAAGGUCGGCACCCGUCGACCGAGUUGGGAUCCCCCUCGCGGGGCGCACCAACGACCCGUCCUAUCCGGCUCGCCGGUUGGGCGGAGUGUGAGCGUACACGUUGGGACCCGAAAGAUGGUGAACUAUGCCCGGACAGGACGAGGCCAGA
rnacentral:rRNA from 1 species